UAGUCACCGACUUCAAACAGGCUGCAGACAACAAUAUCUUGUAAAAGUAGAGAGCUCUUCAAGGACUGACUUGAUUCCUGCCUUGGAAACCAUCAGCACCAGACCACAGAUGGAAACAGAUCACCCAAGCUCAGCUCACAGCUCAGGUUUCCCAGUCCCUGGAACCCUCCUCAGCAGCAGUGAAAUCUCCAGGCUUCCAACUGGAAUCAAAGAGGUCUGUGGCAGAGUUGAGGAUAUGGGCCCUUCUUUGUGCAGUUGAGGACCAGAGUCUCCCAAUAGCCUGUUCUUGCUUCUACUGCAGGAUUCAGUCCUGAAGUU
rnacentral:lncRNA from 1 species